rnacentral:rRNA from 1 species
AGAGGAGCUUGCUCCUUGGGUGGCGAGUGGCGGACGGGUGAGUAAUGCAUCGGGAUCUACCCUGACGUGGGGGAUAACCUCGGGAAACCGGGACUAAUACCGCAUACGUCCUACGGGAGAAAGCGGGGGACCUUUUAGGCCUCGCGCGGCAGGACGAACCGAUGUGCGAUUAGCUAGUUGGCGGGGUAAUGGCCCACCAAGGCGACGAUCGCUAGCUGGUCUGAGAGGAUGAUCAGCCACACUGGGACUGAGACACGGCCCAGACUCCUACGGGAGGCAGCAGUGGGGAAUAUUGGACAAUGGGCGCAAGCCUGAUCCAGCAAUGCCGCGUGUGUGAAGAAGGCCUUCGGGUUGUAAAGCACUUUUAUCAGGAGCGAAAUCUGCAUGCUUAAUACGUGUGCAGUCUGACGGUACCUGAGGAAUAAGCACCGGCUAACUUCGUGCCAGCAGCCGCGGUAAUACGAAGGGUGCAAGCGUUAAUCGGAAUUACUGGGCGUAAAGGGUGCGUAGGCGGUUCGUUAAGUCUGUCGUGAAAUCCCCGGGCUCAACCUGGGAAUGGCGAUGGAUACUGGCGAGCUAGAGUGUGUCAG